rnacentral:lncRNA from 1 species
CCAUCACAAGCAAGCAACUCAUUACUAGCUAAAACAAGUUAACUUAUACGCCACCAGUAUGAGGACACAUACUACCGAACAUUCAAAACAUGAGUUAUCAAUGUAAAAUAAGAAGAUGUGGUAUGAUUUUAAAUGAUUUUAACAUACGUAGUUCAAAACUGAAGGAAGACGCUCUCCAACAAUCAAACAACCAAUAAAGGCGAUGAAGUAAAAUUGCGAAUGACACCGCUAUCAAACAUGCAGUCAAAAAAAUCUUGUUAUAUCGCUUUCUCACGGGGAAACAACACACAACUGAAAAAAAUAAGAGGACACACCAUAAACACAGGUACACAUUCGACUGCAUCUUCAGAACACGAGCAACAAACCCUGCAAUCAAUAUUAAAUAGAAGAAAAAGAAGAUGUUUAUUUCUAAUUUAAACCAAUGAGACAAAGGACAUAAACAGUACAAC